UACUCAACACCGUCUGACAAUUCUUCCACUUUCUGUUGCUAGACACUGAAUAUUAGGAAAAUCAAAGGUGACGGCAUAUACAGGGAGAUUAGAAAACUACUGCACAUGCCUGGGGAGGGGGCAGGCUCACAAAAGACUUGAGAAGACCUGUUUACAUCUCGAGCUAGUGCUUGGCACAGAGAAAGCCUAUGAUAAUCAAAUAAACAGGAACAAAAAAACAAAACCAAAAACAAAAAUCCAAGAAACAAAAAACAGCAAACCCUAGGAAGGGGGAAAAUCUGAUCUCCACAGUUAACAGAUUAUUGGAUUCAAAUGUUCAGUUUUCAAUAAAAAAAUUACAAAAUAAAACAAGAAACAGCAAAGUAUGAACCGUUUAAAGAGAAAAACAAAUAAUAAUCCAACAGAAACUGACCCUGAAAAAACCUGAUGACAGAUCUACUAGACAAAGACUUUAAAACAAUUGUCUUAAAUAUGCUAAAAGAACAAAAGAAAUAUGUGGAAAAAGUCAAGAAUAUAUCAACAAAAUAGCAAUAUCAAUAAAGAAAUAGAAAACCUAAAAAUACUAAAGAGAAAUUUUAGAACUGAAAACUUCAGAUUUGAGCAGGGAGAAGAAUUAGUGAACUUAAAAACAAGAUAAUGAAAAUUAUCGAGACUUAGCAAGAGAAAGAAAGGAAAUUGCGGAAAACUAACCAGUCAGGGGGACUUGUAGAACACCAUUAAGUGAGCCAAUAUAUGCAUACGGUACUCCCACAAGAAGAACAGAGAGGAAAAGAUGAGAAGAAACUAUUUUAAAAAAUAUUGCCCCCAAACUUCCCAAAUUUUAUAAAAGACAUGAAUAAAAACAGCCAACAAGCUUAACAAACAAUAAGUAGGAUAAGCUCAAAGAGUGCCACCAAGACACAUUAUCAACAAUCUGUUGAAAGCCAAAGACAAAAAGAGCAUUUUGAAAGCAGCAAGAAAGAAGUAAUUUGUCACAUUGCAAGAAAUCCUCAAUGUCAUUCUCAU
rnacentral:lncRNA from 10 species